AAGGAAAAUAACAAUUUGAGCUCAUUUGACUAGAGACAGCCACUGGAACAAAAUGUUUUCUGAGCCUCUAGGCUAAAGGGAAUCGAGUGAGAGAUACCACAAUUUCCGCAGACAUCAACUUGCACAACUCUGGUCAUUUGGAAGGAGGCACCCACAGGCUCCAGAAGGAAAUUUCACUCCAGGGAAAUUCCUGCAAAGAAUUGAAAACAGGGACUCAAAUGGACACCUGUACACCUGUGUUCUGGCAUCAUCAUUCAGAUGUGAGAAGGAAUGAGAGGUCAAGAGAUGUUGAGACCUUCCUGUGCAUGAGGUCCUGGGUUCAGUCCCCAGAACUACAUGGAAACACUGUAGGACACACUGAUGAUGGAAUGGUGUAGUGUCCUCUUUCUCUCAAUAAAAAAAUGAAGAAAUUGA